AUCUUUGCACUUGGAGCAAUGACUCAGUCAGUGAAGUAUUAACCGAGGCGCGUUUAUUACUAGUUGAAAACCAUUUCCAAACCUCCUCCUAGGCUUGGGCCCUGCCCUGGCCUUCCAGAAUUUCUGGAAGGGUUCCCUUCGGGGG